GAGCAGGGGCGCGGGCCUGGCGGCGGUUCCGAGUCGGGCGCGCGCGGGCAGGGUCCCCACUGCCUGCUGCGCAGCCGGUCUAGCGGCUGCCCUCGGCCUUCUCGCCAUGGACGCGGACGACUCCCGGGCCCCCAAGGGCUCCUUGCGGAAGUUUCUGGAGCACCUCUCCGGGGCCCGCAAGGCCAUGGGCAUGCUGACCAGCGGCGGGGAUGUUCAAGGACCCAAGGAUUGAGAACAAUGGACUUUUUGAUGUGUGUUGCAACAAACUCAUAGCCGAGGGCUGUAAACCGGAGGAUCACCAGGUCUGCCUACCAGUCACCAGGCAAGUGGGGAGAAGCUGUCACCCCAACUUGAGUUUCAAGAAGACUCCUUGGAAGAAAAGACCACCAAAUUGAGAAUGAAAAGAUCAUACACGGGGGUCGUCAGACAUGGUCUGAGACCUGCUGCGAAGAACAGCAGCCUGGCCCUGCUACCCCCUGGCUUCUGCUCACAGCACUGACCCCAGCUAAUCCAAGAACAUGUCACCUAUAAUGAG